rnacentral:lncRNA from 10 species
UACAAAAAAUACAGAACAUAAGCCAGGCAUGGUGCCGCGCACCUCCAGUCCCAGCUACUCGGGAGGCUGAAGCAUGAGAAUCGUUUGAACCUGGGAGGCGGUGGUUGCAGUGAGCCGAGAUCGCGCCGAUGCACUCCAUCCUGGUCGACAGAGCGAAACUCUCUCUCCAAAUAAAUAAGUAAAACGUUGGAAUAAUAAGAAUGCAGAAUGAAAAAAAUACAUAUAGAGAAAUACGGAGUAUCAAAAGGAAUUGAAUCUGCUCUGUCACCUGUGAAAGAAAUAAUUUGAUAAAUGUGAAGCACAUAAGACUCUGUUCCAGUGAAAUGCUACAUUCAAAGUGCUGUCCACCUCAGAAGAUCCCAGAGGAUGCAAUUCUGGCUGUGCUGGGAAGUGCUAAAGUUGGGCUUGAAGAUCUUGCCAAAGCCUGAGAACUUGCUCU